GACGAACGCUGGCGGCGUGCCUAAUACAUGCAAGUCGAGCGGAUUGAUGGGAGCUUGCUCCCUGAUAUCAGCGGCGGACGGGUGAGUAACACGUGGGCAACCUGCCUAUAAGACUGGGAUAACUUCGGGAAACCGGAGCUAAUACCGGAUAAUCCCUUUCCUCUCAUGAGGAAAGGCUGAAAGAUGGUUUACGCUAUCACUUAUAGAUGGGCCCGCGGCGCAUUAGCUAGUUGGUGAGGUAACGGCUAACCAAGGCAACAAUGCGUAUCCGACCUGAGAGGGUGAUCGGCCACACGGGGACUGAGACACGGCCCAGACGACGACGGGUGGGAGCAGUAGGGUAUUUUCCGCGAUGGACGAAAGGCUGACGGUGCACCGCAGCGUGAGUGAUGAAGGUUUUCGGAUCGUAAAACUCUGUUGUUAGGGAAGUACAAGUACGAGAGUAACUGCUCGUACCUUGACGGUACCUAACCAGAAAGCCACGGCUAACUACGUGCCAGCCGCCGCGGUAA
rnacentral:rRNA from 1 species